rnacentral:rRNA from 1 species
UACGUAGGGUGCAGGCGUUAAUCGGAAUUACUGGGCGUAAAGCGUGCGCAGGCGGUUUGCUAAGACAGGUGUGAAAUCCCCGGGCUUAACCUGGGAACUGCGCUUGUAACUGGCAAGCUUGAGUGUGGCAGAGGGGGGUGGAAUUCCACGUGUAGCAGUGAAAUGCGUAGAGAUGUGGAGGAACACCGACGGCGAAGGCAGCCCCCUGGGCCAACACUGACGCUCAGGCACGAAAGCGUGGGGAGCAAACAGG